AGAGUUUGAUCAUGGCUCAGGACGAACGCUGGCGGCGUGCUUAACACAUGCAAGUCGAACGAUGAAGUUCCUUCGGGGAUGGAUUAGUGGCGAACGGGUGAGGAACACGUGAAGAAUCUGCCCUCCACUUUGGGAUAACUCCGGGAAACCGGGGCUAAUACCGAAUAUUGAAACAUAAGCGGCAUCGCUGAGUUUUGAAAGAAUUUCGGUGGAGGAUGACUUCGCGGCCUAUCAGCUUGUUGGUGAGGUAAUGGCUCACCAAGGCAACGACGGGUAGCCGGCCUGAGAGGGCGACCGGCCACACUGGGACUGAGACACGGCCCAGACUCCUACGGAAGGCAGCAGUGGGGAAUAUUGGGCAAUGGACGCAAGUCUGACCCAGCGACGCCGCGUGCGGGAUGAAGGCCUUCGGGUUGUAAACCGCUUUCAGCAGGGAAGAAGCGAAAGUGACGGUACCUGCAAAAGAAGCACCGGCUAACUAUGUGCCAGCAGCCGCGGUAAUACAUAGGGUGCAAGCGUUGUCCGGAAUUAUUGGGCGUAAAGAGUUCGUAGGUGGUUCGUUACGUCGGAUGUGAAAAUCUGGGGCUCAACCCCAGACCUACACUCGAUACGGGCGAGCUAGAGUUUGGUAGGGGAGACUGGAAUUCCUGGUGUAGCGGUGGAAUGCGCAGAUAUCAGGAGGAACACCAAUGGCGAAGGCAGGUCUCUGGGCCAAUACUGACACUGAGGAACGAAAGCGUGGGGAGCGAACAGGAUUAGAUACCCUGGUAGUCCACGCCGUAA
rnacentral:rRNA from 1 species